rnacentral:misc_RNA from 1 species
AGGAAGUAAAAGUCGUAACAAGGUUUCCGUAGGUGAACCUGCGGAAGGAUCAUUAUCCAUCUCAAACCAGGUGCGGUCGCGGCCCCCGGGGGCUUGCUCCCGGGUGGUAGGGGUAACACCCUCACGCGCCGCCUGCCUGUACCCUCUUUUUACGAGCACCUUUCGUUCUCCUUCGGCGGGGCAACCUGCCGCUGGAACCAAAACAAAACCUUUUUUGCAUCUAGCAUUACCUGUUCUGAUACAAAUAAUCGUUACAACUUUCAACAAUGGAUCUCUUGGCUCUGGCAUCGAUGAAGAACGCAGCGAAAUGCGAUAAGUAGUGUGAAUUGCAGAAUUCAGUGAAUCAUCGAAUCUUUGAACGCACAUUGCGCCCCUUGGUAUUCCAUGGGGCAUGCCUGUUCGAGCGUCAUCUACACCCUCAAGCUCUGCUUGGUGUUGGGCGUCUGUCCCGCCUCUGCGCGCGGACUCGCCCCAAAUUCAUUGGCAGCGGUCUUUGCCUCCUCUCGCGCAGCACAAUUGCGUCUGCGGGGGGGCGUGGCCCGCGUCCACGAAGC